UUGAUGGGUUUGGUGAUAAAAUCUUUAGUUCGAGUUAACUGUAUACGUAAUUCGUGAGUUGUGUCCUGUUGCAAUAAGGCAUAGAUGCGUAUAUAUGGACAAAGAUGAAUUUUUGAGUUGAAUGAAACUGCUGAUACUCACAGGGGCCAAUUCAGUGGUUAGACCGAACUCAUGGCACUUGUAUAUAUGGAAAACUCUCACAGACCUGUUAUCUCAUGGCACUUGAUUCUUGUUAUUGGAUUAUCUGUGAGAAGUAAGCAUAGACCGAACAAAAUGGCCAUUUAAAAUUUUUCAUUUUGGUUUCAACUUCUCAUUAAUGUUCUUCCGUAUACAGAUUUGAAAAAUUGGAGGGGAUGCCUUUUUCAAUAUCAGAUUCUGAUUAUUUUGUGUUUCAUUCUCCAUAUAACAAGCUUGUGCAGAAAAGUUUUGGCUGGCUAUACUUUAAUGACUUCAUGAGAAAUCUCAGUAUCCAAAACAACCCAAUGGCAAUGAAUGUGGGUAGUACUUGUGUCGAUAUAUGAAGGAAAUUAUCACAUCUUGUGCAAGAGGGACAAUUUCAAUUGAUUAUUUUUCUAGUUGGAGAUGUCAUUAAUAUCGUGACAAUGAAAUCAUUGAAGUUAGGAAAUAUUAGUGUUUAUAUGUAAUUAAUACAUGUUUAUAGGUUAUAUUAUGGUGAU